rnacentral:rRNA from 1 species
AGUCGAGCGGUAGAGAGAAGCUUGCUUCUCUUGAGAGCGGCGGACGGGUGAGUAAUGCCUAGGAAUCUGCCUGGUAGUGGGGGAUAACGUUCGGAAACGGACGCUAAUACCGCAUACGUCCUACGGGAGAAAGCAGGGGACCUUCGGGCCUUGCGCUAUCAGAUGAGCCUAGGUCGGAUUAGCUAGUUGGUGGGGUAAUGGCUCACCAAGGCGACGAUCCGUAACUGGUCUGAGAGGAUGAUCAGUCACACUGGAACUGAGACACGGUCCAGACUCCUACGGGAGGCAGCAGUGGGGAAUAUUGGACAAUGGGCGAAAGCCUGAUCCAGCCAUGCCGCGUGUGUGAAGAAGGUCUUCGGAUUGUAAAGCACUUUAAGUUGGGAGGAAGGGCAGUAAAUUAAUACUUUGCUGUUUUGACGUUACCGACAGAAUAAGCACCGGCUAACUCUGUGCCAGCAGCCGCGGUAAUACAGAGGGUGCAAGCGUUAAUCGGAAUUACUGGGCGUAAAGCGCGCGUAGGUGGUUAGUUAAGUUGGAUGUGAAAUCCCCGGGCUCAACCUGGGAACUGCAUUCAAAACUGACUGACUAGAGUAUGGUAGAGGGUGGUGGAAUUUCCUGUGUAGCGGUGAAAUGCGUAGAUAUAGGAAGGAACACCAGUGGCGAAGGCGACCACCUGGACUGAUACUGACACUGAGGUGCGAAAGCGUGGGGAGCAAACAGGA